UACGAGGGGGGCGAGCGUUGUUCGGAAUUAUUGGGCGUAAAGGGCGCGUAGGCGGCCUUCUAAGUCGAACGUGAAAUCCCCGGGCUCAACCCGGGAACUGCGUCCGAUACUGGAAGGCUUGAAUCCGGGAGAGGGAUGUGGAAUUCCAGGUGUAGCGGUGAAAUGCGCAGAUAUCAGGAAGAACACCCGUGGCUAAGGCGGCUCUCUAGUACGGUACUGACGCUGAGACGCGAAAGCGUGGGGAGCGAACAGG
rnacentral:rRNA from 1 species